rnacentral:rRNA from 1 species
UACGAAGGGGGCUAGCGUUGCUCGGAAUCACUGGGCGUAAAGCGCACGUAGGCGGCUCUUUAAGUCAGGGGUGAAAUCCUGGAGCUCAACUCCAGAACUGCCCUUGAUACUGAGGAGCUUGAGUCCGGGAGAGGUGAGUGGAACUGCGAGUGUAGAGGUGAAAUUCGUAGAUAUUCGCAAGAACACCAGUGGCGAAGGCGGCUCACUGGCCCGGUACUGACGCUGAGGUGCGAAAGCGUGGGGAGCAAACAGG